ACUCUCCAUAGACAAUAAAUAGUAUAAUACAGUCUUGCUUCAUUCCUCUGUAAAUCAGCAUAAUCAACUCCGUUCUUAUUGACUGGAUUUUCCCCCCAGCAUUUACAGCCGAACAAUACCAGCAUCAUCAACAGCAACUGGCACUAAUGCAGAAACAGCAGCUUGCACAAAUUCAUCAACAGCAAGCAAAUAGUAAUUCUGCAAACACUUCACAGGUGAGGGAAUUGCCUAUAUUUAUUCCUCAUUUUUUCUCACCCGGGUCAUCUCUAAUUCUCAGCUGUUGCCAUAAGAUCUUGCAACUAACCAACAGGAAAAUGGCUUUCACUUGAAUCUCCAUCUUAGCCAUACUCUAGAGCAGUCAAACUGGUGGCCUGUGGGCUGGAUGCGUCAUACCCACCCCAGCUCCGCGAAGAGAAAAAAAUGUGAUACAUCACAUGAUGCAGUGAGUUUGACACCCGUGCUCUAGAGCAUUUAGAAGUGAUGCUAUAGGUGAGUAUAGAUGGCACUACCACUGCCCCCUAACAGAAAAAAGUGAUUCAGUAAUGUAAAUAUGCAGCAGAGGAGUCCAAGAGAAGUCUGAUUGAUGUCAACAGCAUCACAACAUUGAAUGCACACCCCAGAGGCACAGAGCUUGUGUUGCAGUACUGGCAAGUCUUGAUGGAUACCACUAUAAUUGUAUUCUAAAGAAUUCUAGAUAACUCGUUUAGAUUGUAUAUAUUUGUAUUCCCUUUUCCCCUCAAAUAAAUUUACAGUUCAAUCCCUCCAUAUGUGAAUGACAGCACACUUUAAACCCCUCAGUGUUUUCAGAAAACAAAGCUUUUCAUCUCCUCUUAAAUUAGAAAAACUAGUUACAAUAUGUGUCAUUUCACUGAGUUUGAUUUAUUCAAGUGUUUUAAAAAUACAACAUGCUAUGGUUUAAAAUACUGGUGAAAAGACCAUUCCUUUAGUCAGAAAAUACCAAUAAUUAGUUUUACAGUUGUGUAUAUACUUACUGCUAGUAAUCAAGUACUGGCUUUAAAAAAUAAAAUGUUUUUUUUUUCUUUUCUUCUUUCUUUUCCUUUUAUUUUUCUUUUGUUUUAGUACAAAACAAAUAGACCAAUGAAUACUAGAAAUA